rnacentral:rRNA from 1 species
GACGAACGCUGGCGGCGUGCCUAAUACAUGCAAGUUGAGCGCUGAAGGUUGGUACUUGUACCAACUGGAUGAGCAGCGAACGGGUGAGUAACGCGUGGGGAAUCUGCCUUUGAGCGGGGGACAACAUUUGGAAACGAAUGCUAAUACCGCAUAAAAACUUUAAACACAAGUUUUAAGUUUGAAAGAUGCAAUUGCAUCACUCAAAGAUGAUCCCGCGUUGUAUUAGCUAGUUGGUGAGGUAAAGGCUCACCAAGGCGAUGAUACAUAGCCGACCUGAGAGGGUGAUCGGCCACAUUGGGACUGAGACACGGCCCAAACUCCUACGGGAGGCAGCAGUAGGGAAUCUUCGGCAAUAGACGAAAGUCUGACCGAGCAACGCCGCGUGAGUGAAGAAGGUUUUCGGAUCGUAAAACUCUGUUGGUAGAGAAGAACGUUGGUGAGAGUGGAAAGCUCAUCAAGUGACGGUAAUUACCCAGAAAGGGACGGCUAACUACGUG